CAUGGAUCCCAAAUUUGUGCCGUUUGAUCAAAUGUAUAAUCUGCUCGUGGUGGAGCCGAUAAUAACCGGAUUGGUCAGUGGACAAAUGUUUCUCACGAGUUAAACCCAGAGGCUCAGAUGGGGAUGUUCACACUAAAGGCUUUUAUUGCUGA